rfam:Gossypium raimondii Chr09_contig_1612, whole genome shotgun sequence.
AGUUGAAAUUUUUAUCCAUUUAAUAAUUAGCAUGAGUAAUAGAAUAACUAGAUAGCUACAUAUGGCAUGCCACAUGUAUCUCAUGUCGACUUACAUGAAACAUAUUUUAACAAUAGAAAUAGAUGAAAUUUUUAACA